rnacentral:rRNA from 1 species
UGAGGAACAUGACCUUCGGCGGGGGAUAGCCGGCCCAACGGCCGGGUAAUACCGCGUACGACCAUUUGGGGACAUCCCUGAGUGGUGAAAGCAGCAAUGCGCCGAUGGAGUGCCUCGCGGCCUAUCAGCUAGUUGGUGAGGUAACGGCUCACCAAGGCGACGACGGGUAGCUGGU